CAGUCGCCGCGGUAAAACGAAGGGUGCAAGCGUUAAUCGGAAUUACUGGGCGUAAAGCGCGCGUAGGUGGUUUGGUAAGAUGGAUGUGAAAUCCCCGGGCUCAACCUGGGAACUGCAUCCAUAACUGCCUGACUAGAGUACGGUAGAGGGUGGUGGAAUUUCCUGUGUAGCGGUGAAAUGCGUAGAUAUAGGAAGGAACACCAGUGGCGAAGGCGACCACCUGGACUGAUACUGACACUGAGGUGCGAAAGCGUGGGGAGCAAACAGGAUUAGAUACCCCGGUAGUCCCUGUCUCUUAUAC
rnacentral:rRNA from 1 species